AAACACACAUAAAACUUUAAUCUCCACUGCCACUUACCAUCGCCACAUCGCUUCCCCUUUCUUCUAACAUACCAACACACAGCAACAGAAAUUAGAAGCAAGAAAAAAAAGGGAGAGAUCGAUCCUAGAGUGAGGCUGCGAUGGGGAAGAGAGAAGAGAGGAGGGGGAACUGCUGCCGCACCGCCACCGCGUCUUGAUGCCGCCGUCGUCUUCUCGGUGGAGCCGUGCGCGAGAGAGGAAGGUCGAAAGAGAGAUAGUGAUUCGAGAGAGAAGAGGAAGCAGCGCUGUCACCUAGCCGCCUUGCCUCCUUACUGCAGCCGAGUCACCCAUUCCCGUCGCUGUUCCGGCGCCGUGGAGCCAUCGCCGCCAUCAUCGCGAGCUGCACAUCAUCGCCGUUAGAUCCACGUCGCGUCGCCGUGGCCGGAGCUUCUGCCACCACCGAGGAAGCUCGCGAAGGGAGAGAAGGAACCGCGAGCUAGAGGAGCCGUUGUCGUUGCCGUUGUUGCCCUGCCGCUGCCACCGUGACCGCGGGUGGAGUCCGCCGUCGAGCUGUGUGCCGCUGAUGGUGGUGAACCAAACGUUGCCCUUGAUGCUGGAGAAGAACACCGGAGUUGCUGUUCUGGUUCCGAUUCCUCCAUUUUUGAAACUUUCCGCCACUUUGCUUCUAAAUUUCUGUUACAACUAGUAUUGGUGUCGAUGCUGUUUUGGGACUGUUGUAGCUGUUGCUGGUUCUGUGUGAGCUUACUGCUGCUGCGAGAUAGGUAAAAAAGGAAUUUGUGGCAGUUAUAGAUUUCUUCGAGUUCCAGUUAAUUAAGAUAUCUCAUUGCAGGUUGUUAGUCCAGAGCUUACCUUCUAUAAUACAUCAAAAGAUGUAGGUGAAUUAUUAAACCUGUCAAACAAACUCCUACUUGCACAGUUGGAUGCAUUUUGCAGGAUAAUUUUUUCGUACUGGUAAAGACAACAGGAGUUGACUAGUUUCUGCGGCACCGUUUAUAACAACUUCGAAUAUUCUUUACUUUUUAAUAAGAGACUUUAUCCGAUAUUACAUGUAAUGGAUAAAUUGCACCUUAUUUUGAUUAGUGUUGUAAUGGAUAUUUAUUUUUUAAUAAAAUUUUUAUGAUUUAGA